rnacentral:rRNA from 1 species
UGGGGAAUUUUGGACAAUGGGCGCAAGCCUGAUCCAGCAAUGCCGCGUGCAGGAUGAAGGCCUUCGGGUUGUAAACUGCUUUUGUACGGGAAGAAACACUCCUUCGUGAAGGAGCUUGACGGUACCGUAAGAAUAAGGAUCGGCUAACUCCGUGCCAGCAGCCGCGGUAAUACGUAGGGUGCAAGCGUUAAUCGGAAUUACUGGGCGUAAAGCGUGCGCAGGCGGUUAUGCAAGACAGAGGUGAAAUCCCCGGGCUCAACCUGGGAACUGCCUUUGUGACUGCAUAGCUAGAGUACGGUAGAGGGGGAUGGAAUUCCGCGUGUAGCAGUGAAAUGCGUAGAUAUGCGGAGGAACACCGAUGGCGAAGGCAAUCCCCUGGACCUGUACUGACGCUCAUGCACGAAAGCGUGGGGAGCAAACA